rnacentral:rRNA from 1 species
AUUGAACGCUGGCGGUAGGCCUAACACAUGCAAGUCGAACGGCAGCACAGUAAGAGCUUGCUCUUACGGGUGGCGAGUGGCGGACGGGUGAGGAAUACAUCGGAAUCUACUUUUUCGUGGGGGAUAACGUAGGGAAACUUACGCUAAUACCGCAUACGACCUACGGGUGAAAGCAGGGGAUCUUCGGACCUUGCGCGAUUGAAUGAGCCGAUGUCGGAUUAGCUAGUUGGCGGGGUAAAGGCCCACCAAGGCGACGAUCCGUAGCUGGUCUGAGAGGAUGAUCAGCCACACUGGAACUGAGACACGGUCCAGACUCCUACGGGAGGCAGCAGUGGGGAAUAUUGGACAAUGGGCGAAAGCCUGAUCCAGCCAUACCGCGUGGGUGAAGAAGGCCUUCGGGUUGUAAAGCCCUUUUGUUGGGAAAGAAAAGCAGCAGGUUAAUACCCCGCUGUUCUGACGGUACCCAAAGAAUAAGCACCGGCUAACUUCGUG